rnacentral:rRNA from 1 species
AUGAAAAAUGAUCAAAGAAAUACAUGUACCAAAGUUACAUCUGUUAAGAUAAUGAUUAGGCAUACAAUUGCUUCUUCAAAUUAUUGCAAUAUUGUAGUUCUCUGUAGUCUAAUAAAUUAUGUACUGUGGUCCUCCGCCUCACCGCUUAACGGGAUGGAUCGGGCAACGUACGCCAAGGCGAGACCUGCCUCUCCUCUUAAGUUGAUUGGUUUCUCUUUCUGCAUUCCUUUUCUAUGGCCUCAUUUGGCAUUUCUCCUUCAUGAUUAUUAUGUUGUCCCUUUUGGGUUGUCAGAUGCUUUACCUCGGCAGCAUGAUGAGAUUCCUUGCUUUCUCCAUGUGAAUUUUCCAAAAAGCUUAUCUAUUUGA